UGACCCAACCUUUUCCUGGUCUUUCACUCUUGUUUAUGUAAAAGAAAUACAGGAUCUAAAGAGGAAAAUUGGGAUGAACCCACGAGUAACUUGCCUUGGAGGAGUCUGCUCUAACUGGAUACGGAUGGAUUAGAGCUGGAAGAAGAGACUGAUUCAAAGUGACUGUAAAACAUUAUUCACUUAUAUUAUUACUUGGAGUAUACUGACUAUCACGAGUAGGUUUCUUCAUGGUCAAUCAAUAUCACCCUAGUAUUAAAAUAUUUUUAAUGUGAAUCAUGGAACCUGCUCUUGCAGAAAAAAUGAAAGAAAAGGAAAGAAAGCACAUAAAAAAUAUCCCGUGGCAAUCUCUCUCUUCAGAGCAGGAGUGGAGUCAAGAACCACCAGGCACACAGAGCGCAGAAUCCAUCCAAAUGGGGCCAGUGCUGCACAG
rnacentral:lncRNA from 1 species